rnacentral:rRNA from 1 species
UAGGGAAUCUUCCGCAAUGGACGCAAGUCUGACGGAGCAACGCCGCGUGAGUGAAGAAGGAUUUCGGUUCGUAAAACUCUGUUGUUAGAGAAGAACAGCGCAUAGAGUAACUGUUAUGCGUGUGACGGUAUCUAACCAGAAAGCCACGGCUAACUACGUGCCAGGAGCCGCGGUAAUACGGAGGGCCCGAGCGUUGUCCGGAUUUAUUGGGCGUAAAGCGAGCGCAGGCGGUUAGAAAAGUCUGAAGUGAAAGGCAGUGGCUCAACCAUUGUAGGCUUUGGAAACUGUUUAACUUGAGUGCAGAAGGGGAGAGUGGAAUUCCAUGUGUAGCGGUGAAAUGCGUAGAUAUAUGGAGGAACACCGGUGGCGAAAGCGGCUCUCUGGUCUGUAACUGACGCUGAGGCUCGAAAGCGUGGGGAGCGAACAGG